AGUGAACGCUGGCGGUAGGCCUAACACAUGCAAGUCGAACGGCAGCACAGUAAGAGCUUGCUCUUACGGGUGGCGAGUGGCGGACGGGUGAGGAAUACAUCGGAAUCUACUUUUUCGUGGGGGAUAACGUAGGGAAACUUACGCUAAUACCGCAUACGACCUACGGGUGAAAGCAGGGGGUCUUCGGACCUUGCGCGAUUGAAUGAGCCGAUGUCGGAUUAGCUAGUUGGCGGGGUAAAGGCCCACCAAGGCGACGAUCCGUAGCUGGUCUGAGAGGAUGAUCAGCCACACUGGAACUGAGACACGGUCCAGACUCCUACGGGAGGCAGCAGUGGGGAAUAUUGGACAAUGGGCGCAAGCCUGAUCCAGCCAUACCGCGUGGGUGAAGAAGGCCUUCGGGUUGUAAAGCCCUUUUGUUGGGAAAGAAAAGCAGCAAGUUAAUACCCCGCUGUUCUGACGGUACCCAAAGAAUAAGCACCGGCUAACUUCGUG
rnacentral:rRNA from 1 species